AUUCAUAUAAUCAAGUUUAACUUAUUUUUAAGUAUAACUAUACUUAUAAUGGCAAACCAAUUCCAAAUAAGAAACUUUUUCUAUCUUCUAAAGUUUUAAAAUUAUAUUAGUGUAUUAUUAAUUGUUUAGAUCUUAUGCAGGCAUUUCUGAGGGUCGCAAAAGAUCUUAAUGCUAUUGUGAUUGCAACCAGAGAGAGUCAAGAGAGUAGGUUUGGCCUAUACUGGUUCUUCAUGUUUUAAUUAAUUCUAUCAUUACGCGUUUUACCUCUACUUUGAUGCUUGAAUUAAAGUGUUUCGGUGCUAUCUUCUUUUAUGAAUGAGUAAGAACAUGAAAUUGGUUUCACUUCCUGCUUUAAUAUGCAUCAUCUUUAUGAUGCCCUGGGGCUCAAGCUCCGUAGUGUUGCUAAAACUUAGUUAAGCAUUUUAAGUAUAAAACACAAAGGAAAAUUGUAUAGGAUUAUAAAAAAUAAAUGACUAAUGCCAUUAAUAACAAUAAACUAAUUUUUUUAAAACAAAGUCGCAUAUUCAAUAACUUUUGACAUAAAAGAAAAAGUAUUUCGAUGAUAAUUACUUAAAUCCAUUAGCCAAAAAAAUAAAUGAAUAAAUAAAUAAAAAUUCCAUCAAUUAGUUUUCACACUUGAUCUGAUUUGGGAUCAUUCCAACACUAGCCAACAAUAAAGCUUCCAGACUAACUUUUGAUGCUUGUAGCGUCAUUCCUUCCUUCCACUCAUCUAUUAUUUCCUUUAGAGUCACAUCAGCAAUCAAAUUUGGAAUCUUUAUGUUCAAUCCUCUUUUUGGACAGACAGUUUUCUUAUUAUUCUCAAACUUAACCAACCAUUCAAGAAUUGCUAUCUUCUUACAUGUCAUCCCACUUUCUAUUGUUACUGGAUCAUUCAUAAUCUUUUACAUCAACAGACAAAAGAAUUUAUCAUAUAAGUGCUCCAUGUAUUCAGCAGUUUGUGGCAAACUAAUAAAGGGGCCAGCAUUCCAACUUUCGUAGUCAUUUUUGCCUCCACUCUUUCUGCUUUCUAAAUUACCCGAUAAUUGUAGAUUUACUAAAUAAAUUUCAACAUUAGUAGAAUACAAAUCUAUAUCCAUUUGUUCAUAAUUAAACAUGUCCUACAUUGUUUUCAUGUAAACAAUUUAAUCUAUUAUAAAGCACAUUAUUUCUAUACAUAUCGUAUAAUAAAAUUUUCAACAUCUUUUCUCUCUUAAACCUUAUGAUUAUUUUUUUCAUUAUUUUUAGUUCCAGUUGCUGACUUCUUCUUCGAAGUAUUAAAUCAUUUAUUGUUCUGAUGGAUCCUUCAAUAAUGUCUUUUGAUGGAAAAUUUGUUGUUCUUAAAUGUGAUAUCAUUCUUCCAAGCAAUAGUGAGGCAUACAAUGCAUUCAUUCGCCAACAAUGAAAUCAAAGACAGAGGGAUUGGAGAAAUCGAGUCAAAGCUGGACGAAUUGAUUCUAUGAAAAGGGUAACUGACAUAGUAUUAUCCGAAAAUACUAAUUUUAGUUCUGCCCAUGUGAAUGAAGCUGUAAUAUGUCAUGAUUUCGAGGCUUCUACUUCAAACCAAGAAACGACAGAUGUUUCUAAAUGUGUAAAACUUGUGAACAUACCAAAUACUGUAUAUGUAUUACCAACAUGUACCUAUUGUAAAUAUUGUGGUGCACGAAAAUUUUAUAGAGAAAGUAAAGGUUUUUGUUGCUUAGAUGGAAAAGUUAUACUUUGUAUGCCCGAUUCACAACUGAACUAUAUACUUUGUUUACUUCUAAAGAAUCUA
rnacentral:lncRNA from 1 species